UACGUAGGGUGCGAGCGUUAAUCGGAAUUACUGGGCGUAAAGCGUGCGUAGGUGGUUUGUUAAGUCUGUUGUGAAGGCCCCGGGCUCAACCUGGGAAUGGCAAUGGAUACUGGCAGGCUAGAGUGCGGUAGAGGGUAGUGGAAUUCCCGGUGUAGCGGUGAAAUGCGUAGAGAUCGGGAGGAACACCAGUGGCGAAGGCGGCUACCUGGACCAGCACUGACACUGAGGCACGAAAGCGUGGGGAGCAAACAGG
rnacentral:rRNA from 1 species